rnacentral:rRNA from 1 species
GACGGGGCCCGCACAAGCGGAGGAGCAUGUGGUUUAAUUCGAUGAUACGCGAGGAACCUUACCUGGGCUCGAACGUAAGAUGACUGUAGGUGAAAGCUUACAUCUCUUCGGAGCAUUUUACGAGGUGCUGCAUGGUUGUCGUCAGCUCGUGCCGUGAGGUGUCGGGUUAAGUCCCAUAACGAGCGCAACCCUACCUUUAGUUGCCAUCAGGUUAAGCUGGGGACUCUAAAGGAACUGCCUACGCAAGUAGUGAGGAAGGCGGGGAUGACGUCAAAUCAGCACGGCCCUUACGUCCAGGGCUACACACGUGCUACAAUGGCCGAUACAGAGGGCAGCUACCUGGUGACAGGAUGCAAAUCUCCAAAGUCGGUCUCAGUUCGGAUCGGAGUCUGCAACCCGACUCCGUGAAGCUGGAAUCGCUAGUAAUCGCGCAUCAGCCAUGGCGCGGUGAAUACGUUCCCGGGCCUU